rnacentral:rRNA from 1 species
AUGCACCAACCGGCCGGAACGCGGCGCCUUCCAGCGCAGUUCCGUCGAGGCCACGACCCGAGACGAGGUGGCGGUAGAGAUCUCAAUCCUCCGGUCUGGCCGGCACGGCAAAUCCCUAGCAGCGGUGGUUACGGGCAGAACUCCCGAGUUGGAACCGCACAGGAUAGACAGAUCGAUGAUUGGGGAAAUCUUUAUCUCAUUGGCAUUGUUCCAAUUAGCCUUGUAUUUCUGUAUAUCCAAUACAUGUCAUUGCAGUUUCAGCGUACAGGACGUGGGUUACUAGGAUUCACUAAACCUACGGUUUAG